UCAAUAUUUUUACAAACAUUGUGUAAUGAACGUACAUGUUAUAAUAACAAAUAUAACUUUCAACAACGGAUCUCUUGGCUCUCGCAUCGAUGAAGAACGCAGCGAAAUGCGAUAAGUAUAGUGAAUUCCAGAAUUCAGUGAAUCAUCGAAUCUUUGAACGCAACUUGCGCUCUCUGGUAUUCCGGAGAGCAUGCCUGUUUGAGUGUCAUGAAAUCUCAACCAUUAGGGUUUCUUAAUGGCUUGGAUUUGGACGUUUGCCAGUCAAAUGGCUCGUCUUAAAAGAGUUAGUGAAUUUAACAUUUGUCUUCUGGCGUAAUAAGUUUCGCUGGGCUGAUAGUGUGAAGUUUGCUUCUAAUCGUCCGCAAGGACAAUUCUUGAACCCUGGCCUCAAAUCAGGAG
rnacentral:rRNA from 1 species